UCCAGGUGUUCAGCCUAAGAUAGAUGAUAUAGCAUGACAUUUUGGAACUGCUCACUACUCUGAAUGGCUGACCAGCUCUUGCACACAGUACGCCCAGAUAUUUUUUGUUCAAGUAUCUGUGAAGCUUGUGGUAGCUGGUGAGGUAACUUCUGACAGAGGUCUAGUUCUCUUACACUUUUUCAGGUUGUUCAGCACACCCAUGAGCUCUGGGAGCUACCUAACUGCUCCUCCAGGUACACCUCAGUUUCCUAAGGCUGCACUGCAGAGGAAAGGUAGAAAUGAGCAGUGUUCUAAUCUCUGAUGAUCUCACAGAGGCAGACUGAAAGUACUGGGACACAGAAACAAGAAAGAGAAAUACUGAGUUAACACUGCUGGUUCUUUUGAUGUUGUCGCCAUUGACAUUUCCAACUUGGCUUCAGCGCAAAUACAGGACUUUUUUUUUUUUUUCUGGAUGGAACCAUUUGAGGGAAGGUCCUAAGAGAAGAUAAUCCUAAAGGAGAAGGAUUGCAUCUCAUCCCCUCAGAGAGCAAUUGAGGGCAGCCAGCACCAGGAAAAGGAAGCUGUCACAGUCUAAUUGGUGUGAAACGCUCACGGCAGGGAUGCUCCAAGGUCUGCCUUCCUGUGGAGCAUUAGGAGCAUUGCAUCUCUGGCCCAAAAUCUCCCCCAGAAGAGCCACCCCUCGUGGCUUCCAGGGACACAAUUUGCUCUUUCUGAAGUUCCAGCUGAGAGAGGUGGUGGCAUGUCCCAUCUGCCUGGUAAGAGUAUUCACCAAGGACAUUAUCUCCUUGGUUGUAAAAUCCUUUCAUUCUGGGGAAAUUCAAAUCCACAGAAAUCCCAGGCUGGUUAAAGGGGCCUCUGCGUGGAAGCAGAUCAUUGCCCUCAUCCUUCAAGGGCCAGGAACACGUGCAGAGUGUGUUACAGCCCUGCAACAGCACUUCACUUGUUUGCCUGACAAGGGAGUGUGUUUGUGUAGGAAUUUGGGACUUCCAGUUGCCGGACUCUGUACUUCACUUAUCAGCAAUGCAAGUACAGUAAUUUAUGGGCUGUGUAAAGCACAUAGCUGUGGCACUUCUUGCUCUUCAAAUUAGGUUUUAAAAUAAGGUGACAAAUUGAGCUGCCUGCUGUGGGGAGCCAGCCCUGCCAGGCAUCUGAGCAGCUCUUGGGGAGGGAUAUUUGCCCUCUGCUUUGCAGGACUGGCCAGGUUUGUAGCUCCACACAACUGCUGGAAAUGGUAAUAUUUACAGUAAUACUGACUGUAAGCUUCAUCUCUACCUAGGGGAGAGAGCAGCUUAACAGCGCAAGGUAACUCCCCUCCCUACAGAUUUGCUGUGGAAUUUGGGCAUUUCAGUUUGGAGAAACAGCACAUGCUGUGAAGGCAAAGCAGCUCUGCCACCCUGUGAGAUCAGGACUGCGGGGUGGGGGAAGAGGUCUGGAAUGAGAAGCAUCACCACUAACUUGAAGCUCCAACUAGUUGAGACCGGUCACUUACUUGGGAACAGGAACCUUGGACAGGGGCAUGAGAAAGAUAGCAGCAAGACAUUACUUUUUUUCCAAAGACUUUUAUUAAUAAACACAUGGAACAUU